rnacentral:rRNA from 1 species
GGACGAACGCUGGCGGCGUGCCUAACACAUGCAAGUCGAACGGGGUUACGAGAGCUUGCUCUUGUAACACUUAGUGGCGAACGGGUGAGUAACGCGUGAGGAACCUGCCUUUCAGUGGGGGACAACAGUUGGAAACGACUGCUAAUACCGCAUAAUGUAGCGAGACCGCAUGAUCUUGCUACCAAAGCUUUAUGUGCUGAAAGAUGGCCUCGCGUCUGAUUAGAUAGUUGGUGGGGUAACGGCCCACCAAGUCGACGAUUGGUAGCCGGACUGAGAGGUUGAACGGCCACAUUGGGACUGAGACACGGCCCAGACUCCUACGGGAGGCAGCAGUGGGGGAUAUUGCACAAUGGGGGAAACCCUGAUGCAGCAACGCCGCGUGAAGGAAGAAGGUCUUCGGAUUGUAAACUUCUGUUUUUAGUGAAGAAACAAAUGACGGUAGCUAAAGAGGAAGCCACGGCUAACUACGUG